rnacentral:lncRNA from 1 species
AAAAUUAAAAAGAAAGUACCAUGAUAUCUUCUUUCUACUCAGUACCAUACAUUACUAUAACUUUCAUUUUCAACUAACCUCGUAUAACUCCACACACACAAGUCAAACACCAUCGUGAAUACUAUAAAAAGAAAGUACCAUGAUAUCUUCUUUCUACUCAGUACCAUACAUUACUAUAACUUUCAUUUUCAACUAACCUCGUAUAACUCCACACACACAAGUCAAACACCAUCGUGAAUACUCUCUUCUCUUAAUACUUUGGGACUGAGGAAGAAGAAUAGAAAAACAAAAAAAGAGAACACAAAUAUUUCCUUCUAUUUUUCUCUCUUUAUUUAAAACCUUAACAACAACUCAAAUACAACCUUGUCAAACCAAGCCUUCACAUCUCCAUCACCUUUCAAAAAAAAAUCAGAAAGUCUACUCUUCCAUCAUCAUAACAACAACCACAUAAAUUCACCCUUACAUUCAACCAUGGAAAGAAUAAAAAAUAUAAACAACCAAAAAAUAUGCAAACCACACUUCAUAUCUCAUUCUUCAAACAAAAAAAAUUGAAAACACUAUUGUUUCUCCAUCGCAAAAUCGAGCUACAAGCUUCACUCAAUAUCACCUUCGUCGUUCCAGAUCCAAACACCGCCGCUGAGAUCGACCGCCACAACGUCUGACCAUCUUUGUACAAACCAUUGUUCACCGCCGUAACGACAAAACUCCACCACUAUUUCCGUCAGUUUUUU